rnacentral:rRNA from 1 species
CAGUAGCCACGGUAAUACGAAGGGUGCAAGCGUUACUCGGAAUUACUGGGCGUAAAGCGUGCGUAGGUGGUGGUUUAAGUCCGUUGUGAAAGCCCUGGGCUCAACCUGGGAAUUGCAGUGGAUACUGGGUCACUAGAGUGUGGUAGAGGAUAGUGGAAUUUCCGGUGUAGCAGUGAAAUGCGUAGAGAUCGGAAGGAACAUCUGUGGCGAAGGCGACUAUCUGGGCCAACACUGACACUGAGGCACGAAGCGUGGGGAGCAAACAGGAUUAGAUACCCGUGUAGUCCCUGUCUCUUAUACA